AUAUUACUCAGCGGAGGAAAAGAAAACAACCGUGAUUCCCUUAGUGAGCGGCGAGCGAAGAGGGACCGAACUCGAUGCCGAAUCGGGCUUCACAGAGCCUUGAGUUGUGGCAAGCUGUUUCGUGACUGGUGUGGGAUUGGCGAAAUUCAAUGCGCAAAGCAAACCCAUUGCUGAACACAACCCUUCAUGUGAGUAUUGAGCCAAAGAAGGUGACAGCCCAUUGAGCCAAAAACCCGAGCACCUCACUGAGCAGUAUCAAGCGAGUAGCGCUUCUUGGGAGUGAAGCGUCAAUCGGCAGGUAUGUGUCUGCCAAAGUUAAAUAUAGAGUAGGAAGACCGAUAUCGAACAAGUAGCGUGAGCGAAAGUUUGAAAAGCACUUUGGAAAGAGAGUGACAUAGAACCUGAAGUCGUGACAAUGACAAUGGAAGCAUCUCCAUUUGAUCGCCAAAACCAG
rnacentral:rRNA from 1 species